CCAUCAAUCCCCACAUAGUUCAAUAAAAGUACAAAGUGGGAAGAACUCCCGCUAAGAAGAACUGUCCGACGACCGUUGAAAAACAGUUGAUGGCAGUUAGCCAAGAAGUACAGGUCAGAAGAAAAUCUUUAAUAGUCAAUUAUUCAAAAAGUACUUAUCCAAUCUUGACAAUUAAGGUAUCGAAUGACUCGUCGUAACACUCGCUUUCCAACAAUAUCACACAAACAAAGCCGUGAUCGGAAAAUCUGGAAAAACUAAUCGUUAAUCGCGCACAGAAAAAAAUCAGCAUCUACACUCGAUCACGGUUGCUGCAGGACUGGGUUGCUAUAGACACCAAGACUAAAGAUCAGUGGGCAUACUCUUAGGUUUAACCCCUGGAAGAAUGAAGAAUGAAAUGAGAAGUAGGAAGGAUAGGUAAGGAAAGAUUGAAAGUUCUACCAAGAGAAGUGUGGUAGAUCACUAGGUGAAAGGAGAGAGAGAAGCAACCAACACCAUCGGGACCCACAAGCGCCCGCGACUUUAUUAAGAAAAGAAGAAAAUACAAAAUACAAAAACACAACCCCACAAAGGGGAAAACAGGAUUCCGACAAGUUCAGAAUGGUAGGUAGUUCUCCAGUCAGUAAAAGUUGUCAACGUUCCAAGGCACUUCCAGUGCACCAUCCAAACUACAAGAGCGAAGGGAAAACACUCUCCGUCCAAGGCUAGUCAAGACACCGAAGUGUGCAGCUGUACAUCUGUAGCAUAAAAGCGGACAGAAGUCAGUACUGAAGAUGCCAGGAAGGACACUGUUGAACUCUCACAGUCAUGCAGUAAACCACCAAAGGAGCGAACGGCUGAACACUUACAUCCAAGGGGAGGGAGGCACAGGGGAUCACAAGGGAACACCAACACCAACAGCAACAUCACAGGCACAGCACCAGGCAGCCGAAGCCUCAGGAGAGCACAACACAAAUCAAGAAGGCAGAACGAGCUGAACACUUGCAGCCACGGGAGAACAGCACAGGAGAAACAGCUGGACACUUGCAGCCAAGCAGAGGCAACACUGGAGAACAAAGAAGACAGCAGAAGGCGCAGGGGAACACCAGCAGAGACACCAAGGCACAGCAUCAGGCAGCCAAAGCCACAGGAGAGCACAACACAAUGCCAGAAGGCAGGAUGAGGAACACUUGCAGCCAACGGGAGGACAACAUAGGAGAAAACAGCUGAACACUUGCAGUCUAGCAGGAGGACAUCACUGGAGAGCACACAAAAGAACACAGCACUGGGAGAAAAACAGCUGAGUACAAGCAGCCAGCAGAGGACGAAUACAGGAGAACACAGCAGAACAGCAGCAGCCAACCAGAGCACUGUACGGUGAAAACCUGAAGCAAUCCAGGGCACAGCAUGAGCCGAUGAGGAGCGAACUCGGAAGGAGAACACAGAAGACACACCACCGAAGAAGCCGAAGACCAGAAGAGCAACUGGACGUCAGGACCAGAAAGCACAAAGAGUUGCUGCUGCUGUGUUCUCCCAAGACACAGGAGAACACAGCAGCAGCCAGAGAAGCAGUCAAAGAAAUCCAAGCAGCGGAACAGUAAGGAGCACUGAAAAGUACACAGGAAAACAGUCAAAGUUGAACGGGGGGAGCACUCAGGUCAAGAGAGCGGGAACAGGAGGAGAUGCACUGGACACAACACAAAACAGAAGAACAGCCUACGAAACACAAAGAAGACUGGAGAGAAUUAAUGGCUGAAAAAGUUCUUUAACCCGGAACUACUAUCCUUAUUUCCUAUAACUUAGCUACUAUUGUGGGGUCAUGGUUGACCCCUGGAAUUAAAAUGCAAUAAAAAUGUUUAUAUUCGAAUUAUUAUUUAUUGAAUGA
rnacentral:lncRNA from 1 species